UCUGAAAAGGAAGUCCUUUUCAGACUUCCUUUUCCAGAGGAAAAGAAGAGAUGCGAAUAACAAAUAAUUUCUGGAAUUCACUGAAAUAAAAACCUAUUAUAGAUGUAUCAAGUGUCAUGAUUUCUGGUGGAAUUUCAGGCACCCUGGUGAAAAAAAAUGACACAUUUUCAUGACUUAUGUAGCUUUUUGUAUCAUAAACUUUAUUUUAUGCAAAGAAGGGGGGCAUUUUUUUUUUGCCAAGCUCCCUGUAGUCAUCAGGAUAGUCCCUGUAUUAUACAGUCCCUGUACUACAUAGAACCUACCCUCUUCCGUUCAUUUAUGUAAAAAAUAUUCAUUGAGUAUCUUCUCUGUGUCUUGUUCUGUAGGAGCUAGAAACAUAAACAGACCCUGCCCUCAAGGGACUUCAAGUCUAAUAGGAGAGGUGGACAAAUGCCUAUUGUUUAUACUCAUGGAAGGCCAGGAAAAAAAGGAAGAAGAAGAAGAAGAGAAAGAAGAUAUGGAUUCAGUUUCAUUCUUUUGUUGGGAGGAGUGAGUCAGGCUGAUGGUAGCAAUGGCCUCUAAAAAGUUUGAUAUCUAACUGACAUAAUAAACUGCAUGCAUUUGAAGUAUGAAGUUUGAUAUUUUUUGAAAUACAUAUAUACCUGUGAAAUCAUAACGACAGUCAAGAGGGUGUAUAUAUUCGUCACUUUCAAAAGUCUUCUACUGCCUUUCCCUGAGUCCUCCAAAGCAACUAUAGGUUAGUUGGAACUUUCUAAAACCAUGUGAAAAUGCAGUCACACAGUAUGUAUUAUUGUUUUAUAUCUGACUUCUUUCACUCAGUGUAAUUAUUUCAGGUUCAUCCAUGUUGUAUGUACCAACAGUUCUUUCUACUGCUGCGUAGUAUUCCAGUGUGUGUGUGUGUGUGUGUGUGUGUGUGUGUGUGUGUCACAAUUUGUCCACUCACCAUUUUAUGGAUGUUUGGUUAUGUCUAGUUUUGGGCUAUUACAAAUAACAUCUAUCAAUAUUUGUGUACAAGUUUUUGUGUACACAUGUGCUUUUAUUUCUCUUAAAAAAUACCUAGGAAUGGAAUGUCUGGGUCCUAUUUUAGGUACAUGUUUAACCUUUUAAGAAACUGCAAAAUAUUUUCCAAAGCAUUUGUAUCAUUUUACUACCAGCAGUGCUGGGAGCAGUUCCAGUUGCUCCAGAUCAUCCCCAACUUUUGAUAUGGUCAGAAAUUGACAUAGUCUCUCACAUAUUUACAGUUCAUGAUCCAGUGUAAAGGAGAACAUGUACUUUCUAAUGCCAUAUAUAAAAUACAGUAGCGCCCCCCCACCUGUCUGUGGAGGAUAUGUUCCAAGACCCCCAGUGGAUACCUAAAACUGUAGAUCGUAUACUGAACCUUACAUAUACUAUGCUUUUUCCUAAACGUACAUCCCUGUGGUAAAGUUCAAUUUAUAAAUUAAGCACAGUAAGAGAAUAACAAAAAUAACUUAUAAUAAAAUAGAACAAUUAUAAUAAUAUUCUAUAAUAAGAGUUAGGUAAGUGUGGUCUUUCCCUCUCAAAAUAUUAUAUUGACCUCUACUCACCCGUCUUCUUCUUGUAAUGAUGUGAGAUGAUAAAAUGAAAUGAGGUUGAAUGGCAUAAUUUGUCAUAACUGUAGGCUACUGUUGACCUUCUGACAAUACAGAAGGAGGUAUGAAGGAGGAUCAUUCGCUUCUGGACCAUGGUUAACUAUAGGGAUCAAGACAGGAAGGGGAAUAGUGGUUCAAGAUAAAAGACCUGGAGUGUAUAGUGCUACCACUAAGAAACCUCUGUGCUGACCCAGAAGUACUCAGUGUGAGAAUCCUUCAGACUGCAACAGGAUCCACCACCCUUUCUGGGAAGGAAGAGCUUGGGCUCUCUGCUUGGGAAGGAGCAAUCUAUUUAAAUUUGGCGGCUGCUGCUUAAAUGAAUAGGUCCCUGUACAGUAGGAAACAGCAUCUGGCGCAGUCCCUCUUCAGGGCUGAAGAUCAAGCACACACUCCGCUGGAGGCCUUCUGUGAUCCCAACACCUCCCUCAGAUGGAGCAGAACUUGUCUGCCCUCCUCAGCACAUCAGCCCUAAUGAUGCUGAAGUCCAUGAAAGAUAAUUGCCUUGAGUCAUUCUCUAGCCACAGAGAAGGUAAGAUUAAUAAAGAACAUUUGUUAUAAUUUUGCAACCAAUUUAUGUAAUGGAACUCAUAAUAAAUAACCACAUUUAACACAAGCAUUCAUCAAAGCCAAUUUACACAUCAAUUUCUUCACUAUGUGUUAAACCAACCAUUUAUAAGAAGAAGUUGGUUUCUUCCUGUGUCCCCUUUUCUCUCUGUUAAAGUAAAAAUUACUGGUAGAUAUGGUAAUUUGGGGGGCUUUUAUACAGGCAGCAUUGAUAGUGAUAUAUAUUACUUCUCAGCUAUUGAUACAUGAUGUAUAAUUUUGCACAGCAUGUUGCUUCUGUCUGGACUAAGAGCAAAUUAUUGUUUUUAAAAUAUAAAACCAUUAUUGAUAGUCUUUUCUUCUCUCAAUAACUUGUCACCUCAGGUGAGUACAGUUCACCAUAAGAGAGGCUUUGUAUUUUCAUAGACUGUCAUGUCUUAAUUAUUCACAGAAAAAGGGACAGGUGCAGUCUACUAAAUGAAAUUCACAAAUUAUCUCCAAGCAUUUUAUUAAUUAAACACCAUUUAAUUAAUAAACCAUUUUCAAGUUACCCUAUUCCCAAGCUUUCGCUAACAUCGUCACCUCUGAUGUUUUUAUCUUCCCACUGCUGCAAGGAUAUGAUGGCUCUCAUCUGUGUAUAUCCUAGAAAAUUCUGCCACUAUAUAGUCACAAGUCUGUGUAAAAGGAAAAAAUGGAUCCCAAUCUGUAUUCACAAAGAAAAAUUGAAGUCAAAAUUGUUGCUGAUGUGUGAAACAAACUUAAAUAAGAAAAAGACCAGUCAUAAAUGGUUAGCGGUGCCCAUUGUGGUAGGCCAAAUAAUGCCCCCCUUAAAGUGUCCAUAUUUUAAUUACAGGAGCCUAUGAAUAUCUUACCUUACGCAGCAAAAAGGAAUUGGCAAAUGUAAUUAAAUUAAGGCUCUUGAGAUGAGGAUGUUAUCCUGGAUUAUUGAUGUAAUCACAAAGGAUUCUUAUGAGAAGAAAGCAGAAGGUCAGAAUUAGAAAAAUGGAGAUAUGUUAAUAGAGGGGGAGGUGGGAGGUAUGCAGGGUUAUGAGCUGAGGAAUAUGAGCAACCUCUAGAAGCCAUAAAAUAACCAUAUUCCUAUGGCAUUCCUCAUUUAUACCUUUGAACAAGGACCAUGUGUAUCUUUGUUCAGAGGUACCAAAUAUUCCUAUCAUGUCAGUCCAUAAGGUAGACUUAUGGAAGAGUAAUAAGAGAUACUUGGGAUCAAAGUCUCUGUUUGAAGAACAUAUUUGAUGAUGUUUCUGGGAAUUGAUACUGUUGUUAUAAAGAUGGCAGUCACAUUGAGAGUGAUAUAACUCACUUCCCUUCUACUUCUUAUUUUUCAACCUUAGAAAGUUAUUUUUACCAUGAAGGCAAUGUCUAAAUAUUCAGUAAGGUAUUUCUGAAUGACUCUUGCUUUGGGAAGAGCAUAAAAUGCUAGUCUUUAAGUAUUGAAUGCAAUAAAUUAUACUCUAAUUUACCACUUCAGUAUGUCUUGUAAUGUCAAAUUUUGCCUGUUGCUUAUCAAUCUGGCUCUCAUAGUAUGAACUACAAUUCACUUUUUGUCUUUUUUGCUAGUAGUUUCAUGUAUGUUAAUCUUAUUUCCCUCCAGAGGUAAAGUUUCUUAGAUAGACCAGGUGUUCUAUGUCCUUAAGAAGCCCUCCAUAAAUUUUUGAUUGGUUAAAAAUAGACUGUAUUUUAUUUAAACCACAGUUUUAUCAGUGCUUUUGUCUGAGAUAGGUCAUUAAUUGUUCUUUCAGUCUAACGAUACUGAGGUUAAGUGUUUGAAACAAAUGACAUCUUCAGGAUUGUUUCACACAGUUGCUUUUUCUUCUGAAUUUGUACUAAUUCUUUUGAAUUUUAUCUCUCAAAAAUGAUUUUACUAUAUUAAACAAUAAUUAAUUCUAAAAAUAAGUCUUAUUCUCUCCCUUGAAAAGGAAGGGGUCUUAAUCCUUUUCUAAGGAACUUCUUAAUCCUUAUUUCAAUAUUUUUAUGUCUUAGAACUGACAUGUUGAUUUCUAAUGUCUUUCUAAGACAAUGGCUUCUUUUUCUUUUUAAAGUUUAUUUACUUGUUUUGAGAUAGAGUGAGCAUGUGUGUGCAGUGGGGGGCGAGAGAGAAAAGGAGGGAGAGAAUCCCAAGCAGGCUUCAUGCUGUUGGCACAGAGCCUGAUGCAGGGCUUAGUCUCACAAACCAUGAGAUCAUGACCUGAGCUGAAAUCAAGAAUAAGACACUUAAUGGACUAUGCCACCCAGGUGCCCCUAAGACAAUGGUUUCUGACCUUGAGUCACAAACUCCAGAAGGUCUGUGAAGGUGUUGCAUGUAGGUUCUGAGAUGCCCAAGGCAGCUGCAUGUUUGAGGGUAUGGGCGGGGUUCAUGGCUGAUGCCAAAAAUCCCACAGCCUCUCUUGCUUUUUGCUCCAGAUAGAUCGUAUAGGCCACUUCAUAACCCCUUACCCCUAAUGUCACAUACCAGUUACUCUGAUUUAGUUUGGUGCUAAAUGAAUUUGUAAAGCACGUAAGAAGAUGUAAUAUCACCAAACAAGUCCACAUGCUGAAAAUACCAGACCUAUGUAUCCACGUGGCUACAUUAAGCCAGAAAAUUCAAAACGAUUCCUUAAUCUCUCAUCAGACCUAUAAAUAUGAGAUUUCUUCCCAUUUCAUGGAAAUUCUCCAAUGAACAGUAACUAUAGUCACUGGGGUUAUUGUUUGAAAAGACAAUAAGCUUCCACCUGUCUUAGCAAAAAUAAAUUAAUAAGUAAUUUUAAAAAUAGGAGCAAAAGCCACAUGGUUCUAGUGUUGGUAGCUAUAGUGGUGGUUUCUAGUGAGCAGAAGUAGCAGAACUUCUGUGGUCCAUUACACAGUGUAGGCAGAGGCCUAGAGUCUUUUCCUUAAUCUUCCAAAUAUUCUGUGAACUAUAGAAUCUUCAGCCCAUUCUGCUUAAUCUAUCAGGUUCUGUGGUCUGCCAUGAGCACACCAUUUAAUCCAGAAAAGUGGGGAAAAAAAAAACACCUUACAAGGCAUAAAGAAAGAGAAGACAACUGUAAGAACUAAACUUUUUGUGACAGUUGACUUUCUUCUGAGCACAGCCAUUAAUCCUGCUGUCAGCAGGAAUAAAGAUUCUUCCUGAAAAAGGUGAAAAGCUGCAUUCUUGUAACAGUGAGUGGUGGUGGCAUGCAGAUGAGAAGGAGCCUUCAGAGCCCAGACCUCCUAUUUGUUAACUCUACUUCAAAACUUCAAUAAAAUAAGCAUUUUGGUUUUUAUUUAUUUAAAAAAAUUUAAUGUUUAUUUAGUUUGGAAGGAGAAAGAGACAGGUCGUAAGCUGGGGAGGGGCAGAGAGAGAGGGAGACACAGAAUCCAAAGCAGGCUCCAACCUCUGAGUUGUCAGCACAGAGCUCCAAGUGGGGCUCCAACUCACGAACUGUGAGAGCAUGGCCGGAGCUGAAGUUGGACACUUAAU